UACCCGCGGCACAAGUGGUGGUCAUUAUUAUUGGGCCUAAAGCGUCCGUAGCUGGCUUGUUAGAUGCCUGGGUAAAUCGAUGCGCUCAACGCAUCGAACUCCGGGUAGACCGGCAAGCUUGGGACCGGGAGAGGCGUGAGCUACUCGAGGGGUAGGGGUAAAAUCCUGUAAUCCUUCGGGGAGGACCAGUGGCGAAGGCGUCACGCUAGAACGGCUCCGACAGUGAGGGACGAAGCCCUGGGGCGCAAACCGG
rnacentral:rRNA from 1 species